rnacentral:lncRNA from 1 species
GUUCGCUUAAGCUUAUGUAAAACCCUAAAAUCUAAUUUUUUAAACUAUUAUCUCCCCUCAAAUAUUAUAUACUCUCUACUUCUGUAAUCGUGGAAUAAAUUAAUUUGCAAUACUCAAUAGAGGAUGAAGAAGAAGUAAGCUUAAAGGUUUUUUUUUUCUCUAAUUUUCGAACUCUAUUUAUCGUCAACACCCAAAUAAAUUUAUAUUUCUAACAAAUUUUAGGCUGAAAAGCCUUCUAAUCAAGGAAACAACGUCAGGAAAAAAAAAUGGACAUUAUAGAUGAUUUUGGUUGUGUUUUUACCACUGAUAUGAUAUAUAGCUAAUUUUCACUAUUGAGUUUUUUAUUAUUUAUUAUUAAUAUUAUUUUAUACUUUCUAAUUAGAUAUACUAUAAUUGUGUUUGAUUAGGUUUUUAAUAGCAGGAAAGAAUCAAUUGAGUGGAUGCGAAAUGCUGGCAAGCGAAAUGGAUAUGUUAUUUUAAUUAAAAAAAUCAGAUGUAAGUGCACAUGGUAGAAAUCUAAAAUAAUUUUUGCUUAUGAAAGAAAUGGUGCUUACAGGUGUGUUUCUAGUCAAGGUAAGAAGCCAAGACGUCCUAAAGCAACUUGAACAAAAAAAAUGCAAUUGUUCAUUCAUAUUAAAAGGGCAAAAUUUGGCAAAUGAUAGUCGCUGGGUUUUGAAAGUGAUGUGUGCAGUACAUAACCAUCUUGAGGGGCACUCAUAUGCAGGUCGGCUUAUUGAAAAGGAGGACAACCUAUUGAUUGAUAUGUAAUGCAAGACCAAAGGACAUACUAUAGUCUAUAUAUGAGAAACCAAAGAGAUAUACGUAGUGCUACUACUAUGAGGUCUAUUUACAAUGCAAGAUAUAGAUACAAAGUUAAAUAACUAGCUGGCAGGUCAAACACGUAACUACUCAUGAGCAAAUUGACCGAGCAUAACUACAUUGAGUGGUAUCAAAGUAAUGCUGAUAUAGACAGUGUUAGAGACUUAUUUUAGGCUCAUCCUUUUACUGUUGAUCUAUUACGGGCAUUUCCACGUGUGGUAAUUACAGAUUGCACAUAUAAGACCAACAAGUAUGAUUUUCCAUUACUAGAAGAUGUUGGUGGCACCUCGAUUGAGAUAACAUUUUCAGUAUGUCUUGCAUAUAUUGAACAAGAGUGGGAGAAUAAAUAGAGAGAUACCUUAAUAAAUGCUAUUCAAAAUGUUUUCCUAAAUGCAACUCAUCUUCUUUGUAGAUGGCAUAAUUCAAAAGAUCAUUAUAUGCAACACCUACGAGUUUUGAGGGCGAAUAUGUGAAAAAUGCAUAGCUGGAUGAGUGCAAGGAAAAAUUUAUUGUAGCUUGGGCCGACCUAGUAAUGCAUUUAGGAAACAUGACCUCAAAUAGGUAAAUCACUAUAAAAUAUUCUCAUAUUUAAUUUUAUUAUUGAAAAAAUAACUAAAUUGUUUUGUUUUUUCUUUAUAGGGCUAAGACAUCUCAUUUAGUAUUAAAGGCAACUACAAUUAUUGUGAGGAACUUUUGAGACGUCAUGGACUAAAAUCUAUGUUUCAGUAGAAUUGCAACAUACGGAGAUUAAAGGUUCGUCAAAGAAAAGUUCGACAACAAUGCAACAUGAUUUCAAACCUUCAAUAUUUAAGGAAUUGAGAGGAUUUAUUUUGUGAAAUGCACUCAACAUGAUGGUUUGUAAGUCUAAACAAGCUAAUUAUAGUGGUCUAGAUCCAUUAGCUUUUGGAUGUGUAGUUUGCCACACACAUAGAAUUCCAUGUGCACAUGAGAUUGCGGGGUAUAAGUGUGAAGGAAGAUCUAUUUCUUUGUCUUUUACACAUCCAUAUUAGAAGAAACUAGACUUAAUACCAACUACUAAAGUUGAAACUACUGAGUUAAGUUGAGAUAAAGAUGAUUUUGAAAUGUUUUAAUAAUAAUGAUUACACUAGAAAUUUAGAGAUUUUGAAGAAGUUGAAAGAACUAGUAGAUGGAACAUCAACUUUUCUUAUUGAGCUAGAAGUUAAAGCUAAAACUCAAGGUCAACAUUCUCCAAAAGCAGAUACUUCUACACAUUAAGAUCCAUCCAAAUUUGAACAUAUAUUAUCUACACAAAAUUUUCAUUCUCCAUACAUUUUAUCUUCAAGUAAGAUUUCUAUACAAUCUAAAGGGCGACCAAAAAAAAAAAGAAGAUGCAUCAAUCUCAAAUUCAUAAGCAUAUUUCUUUCUAAGAUUUCUAUACAAUCUAAAGGGCGACCUACAUUUUAUCUUCAAGUAAGAUUUCUAUACAAUCUAAAGGGCGACCAAAAAAAAAAAGAAGAUGCAUCAAUCUCAAAUUCAUAAGCAUAUUUCUUUCAUUGAUUCAUUUCCACAAGGAUUGAGGCUAUAUAUUCAUCAUGUUAAAGAUGUUGCUGCUGACAGUAAUUGUGGUUUUCAUGUUGUGGUUAAUUUGAUUGGUUUUAGUGAGGAUAAUUGGAUGCAAGUCAGGAGGGACUUAAUUGAUGAAUUACAAAGCCACUUUGAUAACUAUACCUAAAUAUGUAAGUAUACAGGAGAUCAGAUGAGUUUCUACAAACACGUUCAUAUUUGGAAGCAAUCCAUUAGAUGACUAUUGGAUGACUUUUCCUAAAGCAAGAUAUCUUAUUACUUUUAAUUAUAAUGUUAUGCUAAUAUUCAUAUCUCAAAUUCAAUGUCUUACUUUUUUUCUACUCAUAUCAACUCCAUUACCACAACCCUCUCAAAAGAUUAUUGCAAUUGGAUUUAUUAACAACAGUCACUUCAUACAAGUAUUUUUUUUAGACUUUUUGUUAACAAUUAUUAUUUCAUACCACGACCCUCUAAAAAGGGAAAAAAGAGAUUUUUUUAACAAUUGUUAACCAUGAUUUUUUUAAUAUUUUACUUUUUUACUGAAGGUAUUCAUGAAUCCAGGUUCACCAAUGCCAGUGAUAACAACUGGUUAGUUAAAAUAUCAUGCUUCUACAGUAGAAGGAUGGGCAACUCUAUAUGACAAGAACAUUAUUGCUUUUAAAGAUUUAUCACUGAAUGUUGCAAGCAAGGAGACAAUUGGCUUGGAUAAUUAAUAAGUGUUUCCAUUAUUCAAUUUUUUUUUUCAAAUGAUUUGGUCAAGUUAUUAUGUAAUAAGUAUUUAAGCUUAUAUACUAUUUAGAACAACUUUAAUGUCUCAUACGAUGUUGAGAUUUUAUUUAUAACAACC